rnacentral:lncRNA from 1 species
CUGAGGAUGUAACGAACAAUUUGUAAAAAGAAUUUUGUCGCUAUCUUUUUUUGUUACGAAGGAGAUGCACACACAUGAUAAACAGUGAAUAGGGAGAUAACUCUUACAAAGAAAAUGGUUCGGCUUAGCAGGGUGAAAUUUAAAAGCGCAUAAACUAUACGAUACAAUAUGAGAAAUAUCUAAGCGACAUAUUGCGAAACAAACAUUUAUCGCAAGAACAAAAUUUGGCGGAAAAAAAAAAAAAUAAUAAUAAUAAUCAGAACAAAUACAAUAA